rnacentral:rRNA from 1 species
AAAGCGGGAGCAAUCUCGCAAGUACAGUGGCGUACGGGUGAGUAACACGUGGAUCAUCUGCCCUGGAGUGGGGAAUAACGCUGGGAAACCGGCGCUAAUACCGCAUAUUCCCGAGAGGGGAAAGCAGCAAUGCGCUCGAGGAGGAGUCCGCGGCCGAUUAGCUAGUUGGCAGGGUAAAAGCCUACCAAGGCUGUGAUCGGUAGCCGGCCUGAGAGGGCACACGGCCACACUGGCACUGAAACACGGGCCAGACUCCUACGGGAGGCAGCAGUGGGGAAUCUUGCACAAUGGGGGAAACCCUGAUGCAGCGACGCCGCGUGAGCGAUGAAGCCCUUCGGGGUGUAAAGCUCUUUCGGCAGGGAAGAUUAUGACGGUACCUGCAGAAGCAGCUGCGGCUAACUACGUGCCAGCAGCCGCGGUAAUACGUAGGCAGCAAGCGUUGUUCGGAGUUACUGGGCGUAAAGGGUGUGUAGGCGGCCUGUUAAGUUCCGUGUGAAAUCUCCCGGCUCAACCGGGAGGGUGCGCGGAAUACUGACGGGCUAGAGUGCGGGAUGGGAGAGUAGCAUUCCUGGUGUAGCGGUGAAAUGCGUAGAUAUCAGGAGGAAUACCGGUGGUUGUAGACGGCUCUCUGGACCGCAACUGACGCUGAAACACGAAAGCGUGGGUAGCAAACAGGAUUAGAUACCCUGGUAGUCCACGCCCUAAACGAUGCAUAUUUGGUGUAGGUCAUUCAGUUGAUCUGUGCCGGUGCUAACGCGUUAAAUAUGCCGCCUGGGGAGUACAGUCGCAAGGCUGAAACUCAAAGGAAUUGAC